CACGGGGGGAGCAAGCGUUGUUCGGAUUCAUUGGGCGUAAAGGGCUCGUAGGUGGCUUUGUAAGUCGGAGGUGAAAUCCCACGGCUCAACCGUGGACACGCCUUCGAAACUGUGAAGCUUGAGGCUGGGAGAGGAGAUCGGAAUUCCUGGUGUAGCGGUGAAAUGCGUAGAUAUCAGGAGGAACACCUGAGGCGAAGGCGGGCUACUGGGCCGAUACUGACGCUGAUGCGCGAAAGCCAGGGGAGCGAACGGG
rnacentral:rRNA from 1 species